AGCACAGCACCUGUCGCCGGGUUUGGGGGAACAAAGGCCGCCCUCCUGGCCUGGGACCCUCAGGGCAAGAGAGUCCCCGGGUGUCCCCAGGCCUUGGAGACUGGACAGACGCGUGGGCGCUGUCUCCAGAGGGGAGGGACCCAACGCCUCGGGAGUGGACUGAAGCUGGGGAAAAACACGAGCUUUUCCUGAGAAGAGGUCCCAGCCAAGGAAGGGGGGCUGCGAUGGGACUUGGGGGUGCCUGGUAGGCGAGAGAAAGGGCUCCUGGGUGGCCUUCAGAGAGGCCUUUGAAGAGUGCACCCAGGAGCACCCGCAACUGCAGAUGGAGGAGAAGCAGCCGCAGCCCACGUGGUCACAGCAUCCCCACAGGGAAGCCCUGGGCCGGGAGAGGCCGGGAGAGGCCGGGAGAGGCCGGGGCGCCCCCCGUGACCCACUGGACGGCUGGUCCGCGGCGGGGGAGCUCCGAGACGCACCGGCAGCCGCUGCGCACAGAGAAUGAGCAUCCUCUGGUAACAUCCACCCGGGUCAGUAAAGAUCAGCAGAAGCAUCUUGGAAACUUCCUUACAUCUCCAACCUGCAUUACCUGUCUAGAUUGAAAUGCCGAUCUCCUCUGGAAACACGCUCACAGACACACCUAGAACAAUGCUUGGCCAAAUAUCCGUGCAUCUCGCGACCUGGUGAAGUUGGCACGUGAAAUUAACCACCACAGAACCUGGCUGCUGACUACGCUUCUUCUUCCAUCCUGGUGACUUCUCUCUCCUCAAUUCCAGUUUCAGAAGUGCUCUGCUCUUGUUCUCUGAGCCCGCUCUGCCUGCCCUGCAAAUGCAUUUCAGGAGCAGAAGGGAAUAGACUAUGGAUGCCCUUCCAGACCAAAACACAAAUCCCCAACAAAGAGGAACUCUUGGCUGACCAGAAGUGUCCUCAAAGCUUCUCUUAGAAUCUGAAUUCAAAGCUGCCAUGAACUAACUCUGGCUGAACCUGAGACCGAGGCCCAGUGCCCAGAAAAAGCCUGCAACUCUGUAGGCCAGAUUCAUGGAGACUGCCAGGCAGCACGGAGCCCAGGGGACUGAGCCCUCAUUGUACGAUGGCAGUGACUGCCGGCUGAUGGGGCGUGGAGGAGGUUGGAGUCCAUGGCAACCCAGGGUGGGCUGGCUGCCGGCUGGGGAGGAGAUGUCAGGGUGAGGACAGGAAAACAAAUAAGCCCAGUGCUCCUUCUCCAUUACGAAUCACGAAGAUUCAAUCUUCUAUUGAGAGAAAAAUGCCCCACCAUCAUUCUGACUCCCUGCAGAGGAAUGUCUCUUGGGUCUUUAGCAUCUGUAACUGACAGCAGGGGAUUGUGACCUCAUGGUAAGUUUGGGACUUUAAAAUGUUAACUAGCUAACCCAUAUUGAAAGUGACAGGCACAGCGUGUCUGGUCCCCACCAAAUACUAAUUGCUGUGGUAGGAAAAAGUGUCAGGGUCAUACAAACUGUCAUCCUUUGGCAUGUGUUUCUAUUGUACACAAGCUGGUCACAUUCUUUGUCCCCACAUGUUUUAAAUCAAGGAAUAAAUAGAAAUAGAAUAUUUAGCUUCAAAUCUCUCUCACAUUUGGCACACAAUGUUACCACAAAGCAUUCAGGUCCCAGCUCCUUUCUCGGGGGUAGCUACUCUGGAGCCUGAAAGGAGUUUGCAAUCUUACCUGGGCUCCCUUACCAUGGCCAAUGGAAUGGAGCCUCUGAGGUGAUCCCAUUUGUCUUGCUCAUUUCUCUCUCCUGGUCCGUGUCUUCCUUCUUUCUCUGAUCCUAGAACCAUAGCUCCCAGGCUCCACGGGAACAGAAUCAGGACAGGCCCCUUUCCUUCUUCCCCCUGCUUGAAAGACCAUGAGGACCUUGAUAUGGUUUGGGGAUGUCCCCACCCAAAUCUCAUCUCGACCUAUAGUUCCCAUAAUCCUUAUGUAUUGUGUAAGGGGGACCCAGUGAAAAGCAAUUGAAUCAUGAGGGUGGUUACCCCCGUACUGUUCUCACGGUAGGGAGUGAGUUCUCAGGAGAUCUAAUGGUUUUGUAAGGGGCUUUCCCCUUUAUUCAGGACUCAUUGUCUCUCUUUCUGCCCUGCAAAGCAGUGUCUUCUGCCAUUAUUGUAAGUUUCCCGGGGCUUCCCUAUCCCUGUGGAACUGUGAGUCAAUUAAACCUCUUUUCUUUAUAAAUUACCCAGUCUUGGGUAUUUCUUCACAGUAGCGUGAGAAAGAACUAAUACAGUAAAUUGAUACUGAGGGAGUAGGGUGCUGCUUCAGGGAUACCCAAAAUGUGAAAGCAACUUUGGAGCUGGGAAACAGUCAGAAGUUGAAAAAGUCUGAAGGCCUCAGAAGAAGGCAGAAAAAUGUGGGAAAGUUUGAAGGCCUCAGGGGAAGACAGAAAAAUAUGGAAAGAGACUUGGAGGGGCCAGAAGACAGGAAGAUGUGGGAAAGUUUGGAACUUCCUAGAAACUUGUUGAAUGUUUUUGACCAAAAUGCUGAUAGUGAUAUUGGCAAUAAAAUCUAGGCUGAGGUGAUCUCAGAUGAAGAUGAGAAACCUGAUGGAAACUGGAGCAAAGGUGGCUCUCAAUGUACUUUAUCAAAGAGACUUGCAGUAUUUUGCUCCCGCUCUAGAGAUUUGUGGAACUUUGAACUUGGGAGAGAUGAUCUGAAACUAAAACUUAUGUUUAAAAGAGAAGCAGACCAGGCCGGGCGCGGUGGCUCACGCCUGUGAUCCCAGCACUUUGGGAGGCCGAGGCGGGUGGAUCAUGAGGUCAGGAGAUCGAGACUAUCCUGGUCAACAUGGUGAAACCCCGUCUCUACUAAAAAUACAAAAAAUUAGCUGGGCAUGGUGGCACAUGCCUGUAAUCACAGCUACUCAGGAGGCUGAGGCAGGAGAAUUGCCUGAACCCAGGAGGAAGAGGUUGCGGUGAGCCUAGAUCGUGCCAUUGCACUCCAGCCUGGGUAACAAGAGCAAAACUCCGUGUCAAAAAAAAAAAAAGCAGAGCAUAAAAGUUUGAUAAAUUUGCAGCCUGAUGAUGCUAUACAAAAGAAAAACCCUCAUAUUCUCAGGAGAAAUUAAAGCUUUUGCAGAAAUUUGCAUAAGUAAAGAGAAGCCAAACUUUAAUAGCCAAGACAAUGGGAAAAGUCUCCAGCAAAUGUCAGAGGCAUAGUUGAGAUGGUUUCCCAGGCUGGGCCCAAGGCUCCGUUGCUCUGUGCUGCCUUAGGACAUGGUGCCCUGCAUCCCAGCUGCUUCAGUUCCAGUUGUGGCUUAAAGAGGUCAAGGUACAGCUUGGGUCAUUGCUUCAAAGGGUGCAAGCCCCAAGCCCUACAGCCUUCCAUAUGAUGUUGAGCCUGUGGGCACACAGAAGUCAAGAAUUGAGGUUUGAGAACCUCUGCCUAGAUUUCAGAGAAUGUAUGAAAAUGUCUGGAUGUCCAGGCUGAAGUUUGCUGCAGAGGUGGAGUCCUCUUGGAGAACCUCUGCCAGGGCAGUAUGAAAGAGAAAUGAGGGGCUGGAGGCCCCACACAGAGUCCCCCUGGAGCACUUCCUGGUGAAGCUGUGACAAGAAGACCACUGUCCUCCAGAACCCCAGGAAAUUAGACCCAUUAGCAGCUUGCACCAGGCACCUGGAAAAGCCACAGACGCUUAAUGCUAGCCCAUGAAAACAGCCAGGAGGGGGGCUGUACCCUGUAAAGCCAUGGAGGCAGAGCUGCCCAAGGCCUUGGGAGCUGCUUCUUUCAUCAGCAUGACCUGGAUGUGAGACAUGGAAUCAAAGGAGAUCACUCUGGAACUUUAACGUUUAAUGACUGUCCUAUUGGAUUUCAGACUUGCACAGGGGAUAUAGCCCUCUGUUUUCACCAAUUCCUCCCAUUUGAAUGGGUAUAUUUACUCGAUGCUUGUACUCCUCAUUGUAUCUAGGUAGUAAGUGACUUGCUUUCAACGUUAUAGGCUCUGAAGCAGAAAGGACUUGCUUUGUCUCAGAUUUGACUUUAGACUUGGAAUUUUGGGUUAAUGCAGGAAUGAACUAAGACUUUGGGGGACUGCUCAAAAGGAAUUUGUGUUUUGAAAUGUGAGGACAUGAGAUUUGGGAGGGGCUAAGGGCAAAACAUUGUUUGGAAGUGUCCCCAUUCAAACCUUAUGUUGAAUUGUAGUUCCCAUAAUCCCCACAUGCCGUGGGAAGGGCCUGAUAGGAGGUAAUUGAAUCAUGUAUGCAAUUACCCCCAUGCUGUUCUCACAAUAGUGAGUGAAUUCUCACUGGAUCUGAUAGCUUCAUAAGGGGCUUUUCUCCUUUGUUUGGCACUCGUUCUCUCUUCUGCUGCCCUGUGAAGAAGUGGCUUCUGCCAUGAUUGUAAGUUUCCUGAGGCCACCCCAACCCUGUGGAACUGUGAGUAGAUUAUACCCCUUUCCUGUACAACUUACCCAGUCUCAGGCAGUUCUUAAUAGCACAUGAGAAUGAACUAAUACAGAUCUCCUGCCUGACUCAACCUCCCUUUCAUGGAGAAGUAGUGCUUUGACCCUUCACCCCAAUGUGUGAUAAGGUCAUCUACUCACAGUGGCUUUCUUAUCAUUUCCAUCAAGGGCAAUCCUGCUCUUCAAUACCCGGUAGUAGGAUAAACAGCCUCUUCACACUGCAGUCAGCGUUGGAAUAGACUGACUGCCACGGCCCACAUUUGCUUAUUUAUAUACAAAGAAAAUUAUUCAUGAGUAAAAGCUGGUGGGCACAGUAACUCAUGACUGUAAUCCCAGUGCUUUGCGAGGUGAAAGUGGGAAGAUCACUUAAAGCCAGGAGCUUGACACCAGUCUAGGCAACAGAACAAGACUUCAUCUCUACAAAAAGGAAAAAGACAGCUGGGCAUGAUUGUCCAUGACUGUGAUCCCAUCUUCUCAGGAGGCUGAGGCAGAAGGCUUGCCUGAUCCCAGAAAGAGACUGCGCAGUGAGGAGUUCCAGAGCAAAAGCUGCCUGGUCUGAAUGCAUUCUCUCCUUGCCAUGAUCGUUUCCUUCUCAGUUUAGGUAUGUUUGGGGUACAUGUGCUAGCAGGAGGGGAUGGAGGGUCUGGUGCUGUCCUGGAGUCUGUAAUCUACUGGCUUUGCUCAAGACUACCGGGACUGGGAGCCAGUGAAGCAGAUAGGUUGAGCAGUCCUUUCUCUCCCGCAGACCUACAGGGAGGGCGGAGUGUACAUUCUAGAAAUUGUGCUUCCCCCACAGUGGUUCCUGAGAUCUGUCCCAGACCUCACUGGGACUCCAAUGAGAUUUCUUUUUUCUUUUUUUUUUGAGAUGGAGUUUCGCUCUUGUUACCCAGGCUGGAGUGCAAUGGCGCGAUCUCGGCUCACCGCAACCUCCACCUCCUGGGUUCAGGCAAUUCUCCUGCCUCAGCCUCCUGAGUAGCUGGGAUUACAGGCACGCGCCACCAUGCCCAGCUAAUUUUUUGUAUUUUUAGUAGAGACGGGGUUUUACCAUGUUGACCAGGAUGGUCUCGCUCUGUUGACCUCGUGAUCCACCCACCUCGGCCUCCCAAAGUGCUGGGAUUACAAGCAUGAGCCACCGUGUCCGGCCCACAAUGAGAUUUCUAUGCAAAGAGGAGUGUAAGCAGUCACCUCGCCUGACAGCAAAUGAGGUCAGUGACUCCCUUCCAUUCGGCAGGAACCUCUACCAGAGAAUCUAUGUGAUUUUCAGUAUUUAAUGAGUGUUCAGGAUUUGUGACCUGUGCUUUUACCUCCUAAUUUUUGCUGGCUAAUUCCACCUUGCACCUGCAAUUUUAGCCUCAGAGCCCAGGUCUGUGUCGGGACAAUUCUGUCUUGAUAUGACGUGUAUGACAAACCUUCUUUUUGGUUUCAUGACUCAACAGGUUCUAAUUCUGUGGUUUGCAAGUUUGAUAUUAUUUUGGCAAUUGUAUCAAAUGCCGGGGAAAUAAGGAAAGAGGUUCCUUCCUUGACCUUUAGUACGUAAGUGCCCUUGUAGUUUUUGCAAUAGGAACACAUCACAGGUAAUACAACCUCCACCCCUGGCUUUCUUCCCCCUUCUAACUGGACCCCGUUCUAACUCACCUGCUGAGUUCCCCUUGAGGUGCUCCCUCAGGCAGAAGGACAGGUCAGGACAGAGCAGCCCUUCCACUGGGACCAGAUAGUCGUUAGGAACCACAGGCAGCUCACCUUCCACUCCUAUAACAGCCACCAGGCUUUACUUCCUUGCAAUGGGCCGGAUGAUGAGAUUUUUCAGCUUCAAGGGCAGUGUGGUUUCUGCUGCAGCUCUGCAGUUGGCGGGGAAGCAGCCACAGCCAUGUAUAAGUGAACGGGCAUGGCUGUGUUCCAAUAAAAUAUAUUUAUGGACUUUGAAAUUUGAAUAUUACAUAAUAAUCAUGUAUCACAAAACAUUAUGUUUCUUUUGAUUCUUUAGGAAAACAUUUAAAGGUGUAAAACCAUUCCUUGCUUGUGGACCUGAUAAAUGCAGAUUUUUCUUACUGAACUCUGCCAGAAACUGUGAGAAGAAAACGGUCACAUGUGUUGAGCUUGCCCUCUUCAGUGCUUUCUUCCCUGGGGUCUGGGGUCUCAGGUUUCAGCAGAGCUCUGUUAGCAUGCAGAGUCCCUGAGCAAUAGAUGCCGAGACACUAUCAGGUGAUCCCUAUAACUUCAGUUAAUAUACUGAAUUAGGUUCUUACAAGCAUGUGUAGCAGUAACAGUGAUCUCACGGUUUAUUUAAAACUAUCUGGGUGAGAUAUCUGCAGAGGUUUACCAUGCCUUAGUAAACAGCAGAUGGUUUAUCAAUAAAACAUUUUUUAUUAUG